ensembl:lncRNA
GCCCUCAGCGCCCGGCCGUAGCACCGCCCCGCGGUGUGCGGUAACUCCGCGACGCCCCUGCCCGCGCUCGCUGCCGGCGCUGGGUGCACGGCGCUUGCUUUCAUUAGCAGAGCCGCCUUUGCUUGAUAGCGGUUCGGUGGAUGUCUCCGUUAUCUACUUGGUGCGUGCGAGGACUUUCUAAGCAAAUUGUUUAAUGCUACGUGAGCAAAGCUGGAAGCAAAGACGAGGAGUUGCUCGUCGUUGCCAGGCGACCUGUGGGAGCUACCAGCGUAGCAAAAGCAAGAAGGAAGGCUACCGAGGGUCGCGAAGAGGAAGAUGAUGAAGGAAGGGCUGAACGACCGCCAGAGGGCUCUACCUCGCGUGCCCGAGUGACAUUACCGUAUUUUAAUGAGUCCCUGAAAAAUGUUAAUCACUUCUAAGAAAUGUAAUGGGUAUGCAUAUCCUGUGUGUGUAAAGCUUAUCUCGGGUUUGUGACGUGCACCCAGCCCGUGUCACUGCAAGGCAGCCGGGCUGUGUCCGAGCACCACCACCUCCUGUCCUCAUCAUUUCUGUCCUCAGAAAUUCAGUUCCAGGAGCAAAGAUUGCAUUGCUAGAACAAAGACCCGCACUUCUUUGCGUGGCUCCUGGAGGAGGACGGUCCGAAUGUGGCUCCUGAGGGCUGCCUGCUGCUCAGCAGCUCCAGAGCGUGGUGGGCGAUGUGGGGGAACGCAGUCUGAGGUGUUGUGUGAGGGCACAGGAGGCCUCGCUGGGAACAGGGCUGCUGUGCUGCUGGCAACCAAUGUCCAGCUGGGCUGCAGGAGGGGAAAGUGUGUACCUUGGUGCAAACUGCUGGGAUUCUUCAUCAUUUACAAAUGCAACAGGAGAUGCCAUUUGUGUCUUACAUAAAACUUGGUUCCUGGAAAGCCUUCAGGACUCGUUUAACCCUACAGCAAUUGCCAUUUAUUAGCAGGGUUAUUGAUCACGAAUCAUACCCCAUGUUGGGUCGGAAGGGCCCUCAGAGCCCCACCUGACCCCCCAGCUCCGGCUGCCCCAGGCCUGGCCGUGGCUCUGAGCACCUCCAGGGAUGGGCACCCACAGCUCCGGGCAGCAGUGCCAGUGCCUCACCGCCCUCUGAGUAAAGAAUUUUUUUCUAAAAUCUCGCCUAAAUUUCCCCUCUUUUAGUUUCAAUCCAUAGAUUCAAAGAAUUGAAACUGAGGAACUUAACAGCAAAGUUUUGUUGCCGUUAAGCAGGUAUUCUUUUUUAGCCCAUGGGAAGCACUGGGGAUAAUUCCACCACAAAAGUUUCUAAGAUUAUAUGCGUAAUAGUUCCUUAUAUUUUCACAGAUAGUACAUAUUCAUAAUUCCUUCACGAGAUUAUUAACAUAUACGCGCCUAUCUCAAGUACUGAAUUAGGAAGUUUGCAGUCUUCUGUUCCGCGGUCUCUGCUGCCACCCAGUGUCCGUUCAGCACCAUGACAGUCCAGUCGGCAGCCGGUAGCUUCAUCCAACGUUCUUCCUCGCUCGCCGUCUAGACGAAUUGUCUGUUGAUGCAUGUUCAGUAGGAGAACGCCUAUUAUAAGCAGUUUUUAUAGGUACCAAAAUCGUAACAUUUGCCUACUCAACUAUUAUUGUCUGCACAUCUGUUAAUCCUGGGACAGAGAUAAGUCCUGUCUUUCAGUGAUAUACUGGGGAAUCGGAAGAUAAGGAGAAAGGGGGGAGUAUCUUGACACCUGCCUGUUGCAUUCCAAGCUUCCCCCACAAUGGAGCAGUUUGGCCUUGUGUGGGGGCACUGUCUUCUUUGAUGUUUGAUACGUCUGCUUGUGCCUUUUCAUUAUUGUGUUUCUUUUGCUGAAGAUCUCUGGCUAAAGCAGAAUAGCCUUGCAAAAUGCUUCCUGGUCUAUCUAUAACGCUACGUCCAUAACUAUUCACAUCUAAAAGCUAUUACAGUUUUGCAAGCAAGAAUUAAUCGUAUUGUACAACAAUGCAACAUCUACAUUUAUAAGAAUACGCUACC